rnacentral:rRNA from 1 species
CAAACGACUCUCGGCAACGGAUAUCUCGGCUCACGCAUCGAUGAAGAACGUAGCAAAAUGCGAUACUUGGUGUGAAUUGCAGAAUCCCGUGAACCAUCGAGUUUUUGAACGCAAGUUGCGCCCGAAGCCAUUUGGCCGAGGGCACGUCUGCCUGGGCGUCACGU